AAAGAACUCUCCGUCACCAAUGUUCUGCAUCAUCUUCGUCGCUGCAGGCACAUCUGGGAUCAGACCAUUGCUGCUCUCAACUGCUCUGCAGCACAGAAUCGGCAUCUGGCUGACAGGAAGAGGAUCAGGACCAGCCGGGUCAAAAGGCAAGCAAAUAUGUAUGAACAUUAGCAUACUGCACAACAGAGAAAGAAAGUGGUUUUCCUGAAAGCAGGCAGAGUGAUGUGGAAAAGAGAACAAAGUCAAGGUCAGUGUUAGAUAGAGAGCACCCUCCUAUCUCUGUUUUUCCUUGCAUUCCAAAUCAAACACACACACAUGGCUAUGUCUGCCCAGUUUGGUGGCCAUGGAAUGAGGUGUCACAUUUGAUUGCCAGGGGUAAGACAAGCUCAUUAGUACUUUCUAGCCUGUAGAUAAAGUGUCAGAAACUGAUUCCUGAAUAUGCAGCUCAUUCUGUUAAAUCAACAGGCUACAUGUGUUUUUAGUGUUUGAUUUAGGGACUAUAAAAAGGAAUAUUUUUAGACACAAUUUAAUAUAGUCUAUAGGCAAAACAACAAAAAUUGAGGAUUUGUCUCAAGAUUAACCUGCACUAGCACAGCUCAAUGACAUGUGGUUGGGGGCGAUGUUAUACCACCCGAUAAAGCACUGCACUGUGAAAAUGAAGAUGGCUCAGGAGUUCCAGGACAGCCGAACUGAUAGAGUGUUAAUUCUGUACAGAAUGACAUAAGACAGUUCAGCAGCAGGAAAAGCAUCAGUUCACGUUCAUCCAUAACAGCUAGGAAAGGUUUGGACUUAUAUGGCAACAUUCAACAUUAAAUGCUAAUACAAAUAAUCAUGUUACAUGUUUUAAAUCUGGACAAAACAAAUAAUAAAAGAAACUCAAACCACCAGCUGACAUCUUUGGUGUUAAAUAAAUGAAAUGCAUAACAAUGUGCAUAUUGUGAUAGAUGUAAAACUCUAAAAAUGAACAAAAAAGUUAAAUAAAAAGACAGGUGGGUAACAACAUACCUGCACACUAUGGAAAUAGACAGUUCACCUGCAUGAAAAACACCCAGCCAACAUCAGUUCACCUGCCCAUGACAAAGGAACCACAUAAAAAAACGCUGCACGUGAGCAGAGCAGUUGGCUCGUUCACACAUGUGCUGCAACAAAAAGGUCUUCCUCAACAAAACAUUCCGUCCUCUGCUAAAUUGCAUAAAAAACUUAAACAUUUUACAAACACAUUGGCUAAAAUAUAGUAAAGCAUUUUGUGAACUACAGCAACUUUUAGAUAGUAUAUUAACAGCAGCUCCUGGGAAAACAUUUCCUUCUUCCAUAACACCCAGGAAUAGUCUGGUGAAGGAGAAAGUGGAGUCAUGGGUUACAACUGCAAAAGUAAAACUAAACUUUCCCAAAAUUAUUAUAUACAUAUUAUAUAUAUAUAUAUAAUUUUAAGAUACAAAUGAAAGACAAUUAAGAAAAAAGAUACACAAAAUUAACAAGUGAGAUAUUUUUGGUGGAAUAUGUUAGGUUUUCUUUCUUCCAUGCUAUACACAUGUACACAAACACAAGUUUGUAUUUAUUAGGACUUUGUACUGACUUCCAUUCAUUUUAGUAACAGCAUGCCUAACCCAGACAUUUUCCAUAACCCUAACUAUUAUUAGUCUAUUUGUAGCCCUUCACAUUAUACCUCCCCAUAAAGCCCAUCAAUCUUUGGGUUAGUAUUCAGAAAUGGCCCUAAAUAGGAUAAGCUAGACAAGUGCACGCGCGCACACACACACGCACGCACGCACCACACACACACCCACACACACACACAGAGAGAGGAAAAAAAGACACUCAUAAUAAUUACAAGAAAACUGACGAAGUUUUAUGAGUUUUCCUUUAUGUCGUAAAUCCCAGUAAUACUAAUAGGUAGCCUGAACCAACCAUUAAGUGAAAGAAAAGUUUUUGUAACAUCACACAGAAUGUAUUUUCUAAAAGUAGAAAUGGAUGGAUGGAUGAAUAAAAUCCAUCCAUCCAUCGUCUUACACACUUAUCCCUAGUGUGGUCGCAAGGAGUGCUGAUGCUUGUCUCCAGCGGUCAACGGACGAGAGUCAGGGUACACCCUGGAUAAGUAGCCAGUCUAUCACAUAGGGUAUGAAACUGAUAAUCAAAACGUUACUUAUAAUGGUGAUGCAACAAAGUCUCAACACACAGGCUACUUGUGACCUCUUACACUACAUUGAGAAAGCAAGUCUUAACGCUCAACAUAAUCAACCUUGAGGAACUAAUCACGUUCCUCAAGGGUGGUGUUUUUAAAUCACAAACCAAAAUGCCGGAGAGUGCAACUAGCCCAGACCAGCCCAGACCUCGAGUUCGUGACAAGCGGCUGCACGGCAAGGUCCUGUGACGUCGUUUUCGUGCAGGCCCUGUUACUUUUCUUCACAAGAGGGUGUAAGGGUUCAUUUAAUGCCUCAACCAGAUAAUGGUUCAUUUUGUGUUUCGGAGAGGGAGCCUGAGGAAUUUUUUAGUCUGAAGUGUGUUUCAGUGGGCCAACAUUAUGGAAGUAUAAAAUCUCAUUUCUCAUCUCUCCUGUUAGACUGCAACUUUUCAACCUAGCCUCGACAGUAACAAGUUAACUUGGUAAACAUGUUGAAUGUAGUCACAGAAGAGAUACAACAUACAAACAUCAUAAUUGCAAUCUUUUUGAGUCAUGUAGUAAAAAUAGACAUUAUUUUUAAAUAGCAGUAGUUCAAAAUAAAAGCUUUUUGUUUUAAUUUUAUCUUUUGUCAGUAUUCUCUCCAGGUUAACACCCAAGUUGAAGGAUGUAAGUGAAAAUGCAAGAUCUGAAUGGAAGGCUUCUCAGACCCUAUCACCUGGUGGAUGUUUUGCUGUGGCAAUAGUGGAAUGAGUGGAAGCUCUUAGACUUUGAGAGGUACGACAUUGACAGGCAUUGGGGUGGAGGGAGCUGCCUACUCUUAUUCUCAAUUCAGAGCAAAUGUACAACUUGUUCUCCUUCAUUAACCUCCUUUACCUGUGAAUUUGCCAGUUUAAAACUGAGGAUUUAAAAUGGGGGUUUGGCACAUGCUAUAGUCAGACAAUCUCCCUGUAGAGAAAAACUUUUAAGAAAUGUCAAUUCACAAAAAACUUAAAGGAAGCAGAGCUGUGUUUAAAAGUUAUUAGCACACAAGCAAAUAAUCUGAUUUUGUACAUGGUUAGCAAAUGAAACCAAAUAUCAAAAUGUAAAAAUAUAAACUUUACAUUUAUGUUUAACUGUGAAUAUGUUUUUUUUUUCAAUAGUCAAGUCAGGCUAAAUAUAAAGUAAAUAAAAGUAGGCUUUUGUUCUGCACAAUAGAAUGCUCAUCAACUGAAACCCUUUUUGAUGCCCACUCAAGUUAAUUGAUGCAACUUCAACACAAUCUAAAGAUUGCACUAGAAACACUUUGCAUCAGUCUAUAGGUCAGAGUUAUACCACAAACUCUUAUCACAAAAUUAUCUUAUUUUCAAAUACUCCUAUGCAAAGCUGCUUUCACAAAGGAGUUAGAGUGCACUUCACUCUGAAAGGUGCAAGAGCUUAAAUUAGCAAUUUGCAACAAGCCACAAAUAAUUUAAUGAAUGAUAUGCUGUUGACAAACUUAUGACUUGCUAACAUGGCAAUCCCUGAUGCCAGAGUGAAUUGAUGGUAAAGAAUGCCCGAGGUGUUGAUUGGAGUCAUAUGACAAAGAAUCACGUAAAACUAAAGUCACACAUUUAAUGGCCUUGAAGUUCACUUCAUAAAAGACUUUGAACUUGACUUGAAAUUUCACACCAAGGGCUUAUGACUUAACUUUGAGUGGUAAUGACUUCCUCUACUAAAACAAAGAUGUAUUCCAAAUGAAAAGUAUCGAACAAACAAAAAAUUUGCAAGCGGCACAAUCGACACUGCUGUACAUUUACCAAUAUUUUCUCCUCUUGUUGCUACAACAAGCGUGCUGCAUCUACCCUGUUCCCUGUUGUGUACCUGCUUUUCUUCCACAUCCUAGGACUCCAGAGAAGUCCUGUCUUUGGGCACUCAACACACCUGAGUCAAAUAAUGAGGUCGUUAGCAGGACUCUGGAGAACCUGACUGCACUGAGGAGGUGGUUCAGCUAUUGGAUCUAGGUGUAUGCUACCAGGCAGACAUAUAAGAGUUGCAGGACACUGGCCCUCGAGGACCAGGAUUGCCCACCCCUGGUCUACCUGCAGGUGCAGUCAACUACCAAAUAUGCCCCAUAUAAAACUCACCUCCCUGUUGCUUGAUGAUGGUCUAACUCAGGGGUGGGCAACUCCAGGUCUGGAGGGUCGGUCUCCUGCAACUUUUAGAUGCAUCUCAACUUCAACACACCUGAGUCAAAUAAUAAGGUCGUUUGCAGGACUCUGGAGAAUCUGACUGCACUAAGGAGGCGAUUCAGCUAUUGGAUUCAAGUGGGUUGGACCAGGGAGACAUCUAAGAGUUGCAGGACACCGGCCCUCGAGGACCAGGAUUACCCACCCCUGGUCUAACUAGUUAACUGCUAAGUUGGGAUGUCAUACAGCUGUUAAUGUGUCAAGGCUCUGGGCUUUUGGGUUUGGUUUUGUGUUCUGUGUUUUUAUUGUUUCUCUUUUUAUUAGUUAUGUUUUAGUUCACCUUUUUGAUUGAUUUUUUUUAGAACGUUCUCAUUUUACUGAAGGUUUAGUUAUUAUUUUAUGUCUGAGUCUAUGUCUAUCGUUCUUUAGUAAUUCGAGUUAGGUUAUUUCUUUGUUUAGUCCUUCUAGUAAUUCUAGCUGUGUUCCUUAGUUCCUAUUGUUUUUAGAUCAGCUUUGUUUCUGUUUGGUUCUUAGUUUUCCCUAUUGUCUUUGCCUUUUUGUAGUUUAUUAUGUUUUCAUUAGUCUUAAUGUUUCUUUAUUAUUUAUUAAACUACUUCCAGCUCCCUUAAGUUUCUUCCUUCACUCUUUUGUGUUCCCCUGUAUAGCUUGCCUAUACUACCUUCUCCGCUUGACUUCUGCUUCAACUACUCACACCUGCAAGCCAGCUCCUUUGUUCCACCUUCUAACUCCCAGUAUUUAAGCUCCUCUACUUCAGUCACAAGUUGUUAGUCUGUCUCGUCACUUCCAUUAUUACUCCUUAGUAUCGGACCCGCCUCCAAGGGGCCAGCAACGGGCUCUGGAGGAGCACUGGGAGGCAGAAGCUCGGGAGGAGCACUAGGAAUCUCAGGAGGAGCACUGGGAGGCAGACGUUUUUGUCGGGUCCUCAUCUCACUUAGCGUGUUGUUUUUGUCCUGUGUCGACUUCAGCUCUCCUAUCAGUCUUUUAGAUCAGUUGCUACCGGUGCUGAGCCUUAGUUUUCCGGUCUGCCGUGUUGCCUGUUUCUUGGACUGUUUUUGAGCUUGUGGACAUUAUUAAAAUCCUUGUUCAUCUCC